GAUGAACGCUGGCGGCGUGCCUAAUACAUGCAAGUCGAGCGAACAGAUAAGGAGCUUGCUCCUUUGACGUUAGCGGCGGACGGGUGAGUAACACGUGGGUAACCUACCUAUAAGGCUGGAAUAACUCCGGGAAACCGGGGCUAAUGCCGGAUAACAUUUAGAACCGCAUGGUUCUAAAGUGAAAGAUGGUUUUGCUAUCACUUAUAGAUGGACCCGCGCCGUAUUAGCUAGUUGGUAAGGUAACGGCUUACCAAGGCAACGAUACGUAGCCGACCUGAGAGGGUGAUCGGCCACACUGGAACUGAGACACGGUCCAGACUCCUACGGGAGGCAGCAGUAGGGAAUCUUCCGCAAAGGGCGAAAGCCUGACGGAGCAACGCCGCGUGAGUGAUGAAGGUCUUCGGAUCGUAAAACUCUGUUAUUAGGGAAGAACAAAUGUGUAAGUAACUGUGCACGUCUUGACGGUACCUAAUCAGAAAGCCACGGCUAACUACGUG
rnacentral:rRNA from 1 species